rnacentral:rRNA from 1 species
UGCCAGCCGCCGCGGUAAUACGGAGGGUGCAAGCGUUGUUCGGAAUUACUGGGCGUAAAGGGCGCGCAGGCGGCCUGUUAAGUCAGAUGUGAAAGCCCACGGCUUAACCGUGGAAGUGCAUUUGAAACUGGCAGGCUUGAGUAUCAGAGGGGAAAGUGGAAUUCCUGGUGUAGAGGUGAAAUUCGUAGAUAUCAGGAGGAAUACCAGUGGCGAAGGCGACUUUCUGGCUGAAUACUGACGCUGAGGCGCGAAAGCGUGGGGAGCAAACAGGAUUAGAUA